CAAGAAUUAUCAAUAAAAAAAUAAAUUAAAAAAAAAAAAAAAAAGAAUGCCUGAACUAAGCAAGUAGAAUAAUGAAAUACUUUUUAAAAACUUCACUGUAUGCCCAAUAUAAAGGGAAAUUAUUAACAAUAAGUAAUUUCAAACUUAUAGAGAUAAAAAAUUAUCUAAAAAUAUAAAUUUAAAACAAAAACAUUUAGAAUUUAUUCUGGAACAAUUUCUAGACAGUAGUAUGCAAGAUGACUUGAAGAAAAUUUUUUUAAAAGCCAGGUGCAGUGGCUCACACCUGUAAUCCCAGCACUGUGGGAGGCUGAGGUGGGAGGAUCGCUUGAGCCAGAAGUUCAAGAGGCUGGUCUCAAACUCCUGGGCGCAAGUGAUCCUCCUGCCUCUUGUUAUGAGCACAUAAAAAGAUCUCCAUCUCUACAAAAAAUAAAAAAGUUAGCCAGGUGUGGUGGUAUGUGCCUAUAGUCCCAGCUACCAGGGGAAAGGCUGAGGUGGGAGGAUCACUUGAGCCCAGGAGAUUGAGGCUGCAGUGAGCCAUGAUAGCGCCAUUGCACUCCAGCCUGGGUGACCUUGUUUCAAAAUAAAUAAAUUGGCAAAUAAUAAAAUAAAUAAAAUUUUAAAAUGAGACAACCUAGGCCGGGCGUGGUGGCUUACGCCUGUAAUCCCAGCACUUUGGGAGGCCGAGGCAGGCAGAUCACUUGAGGUCAGGAGUUGGAGACCAGCCUGGCCAACACAGUGAAACCCCGCCUCUACUAAAAAUACAAAAAUUAGCUGGGCAUGGUGGUGGGUGCCUGUAAUCCCAGCUACUUGAGAGGCUGAGACAGGAGAAUUGCUUGAACUCAGGAGGUGGAGGUUGCAGUGAGCCGAGAUCAUGCCAUUGCACUCCAGCCUGGGCAACAAGAACGAAACUCUGUCUCAAGAAAAAAAAAGAGACAAUCUAAAAGAUAUUCUAGUAGUCUAUAUGUGUGGUGAUAAAGCCCUAAACUAAAUACAUCAUUUCUGAAAACAGCAAAAAAAUAAAAAAUAAAGCAAAUCUGGGAGCCAUCACAGAGUAAAAGUUGACAGAAUUUUAAACUGUAUAAUAAAAGUAAAGAAACGGUGCUUGCUUUGGCAGCACAUAUACUCAAAUUUGAAUGAUACAGAGAAGAUUAGCCAAAAAAUUUGAAAAAUUAUAUUAAAAAAAGAAACAAGAAGAUUUAAAUAUUCCAGAACUAGGCAUCCAUGAGACAAUGCCAUUAAAACAUAUAACAUAAAUGUGACAGAUACUUAGUAUUUCCUUUCUCUUUUCUUUUUUCCUUUCUUAUCUUUUUUUUUUUUUUUUUGAGACAGGGUCUCACUCUGUCACUCAGGCUGGAGUGCAGUGAUGCCAUCACUGCUCACUGCAGCCUUGAACUCCUGAACUUAAGCUAUUUUCUCACCUCACACACCUUCCCCACCCCUCCAGUAGCUGGGACUAGAGGUGCAAGCCACCAUUUCUGGCUUAUUUGUGUGUGUGUGUGUGUGUGUGUGUGUGUGUGUGUGUGUGUGUGUGUGUAGAGAUGGGAGUCUCAUUAUGUUGCCCAGGCUGGUCUCCAACUCUUGGCCUCAAGUGAUCCUCCCACUUUGGUCUCCCAAAGUACUGGGAUUACAGGCAUAAGACUUACUAUUUCUUUGAAUCAAAUUAUUAUUUUUUGACUCUUCUCUUCUAGAUGAGAAUCUUGAUGAUGCUUCAAGUAUGCAUACUCUAAGUUACCAGAAAGACUAUAAAUCAGAACAUGUAAUAAAGGGGGCCGGGCGUGGUGGCUCAUGCCUGUAAUCCCAGCACUUUGGGAGGCCAAGGCAAGCCGAUCACCUGAGGUCAGGAGUUCGAGGCUAGCCUGGCCAACAUGGCAAAAUGCCACCUUUACUAAAAAUACAAAAAUUAGCCUGGCGUGGUGGUGGACGCCUGUAACCCCAGUUACUUCAGAGGCUGAGGCAGGAGAAUUGCUUGAACCCAGGAAGGGGAGGUUGCAGUGAGUCGAGAUCACGCCACUGCAUUCCAGUCUGGGUGACAGAGCAAGACUCUGUCUCAAAAAAAAUGAAAAAAAAUGAAAAUAGGCCUGGCAUAGUAGUUCAUGCCUGAAACACUUUGGGAGGCUAAGGCAGGAGUAUUACUUGAGGCCAGUAGUUCAAGAUCAGUCUACACAACAUAGCAAGACCCUGACUCUACAAAAAAAUUAAAAAGUAGCCGAGAGUUGUGGCACACACCUGCGGUCCUAGUUGUUACAGAGGCUGAGGAGGGAGGAUUGCUUGAGCCAGGAGUUUGAGGCUGCAGUGAGGUAUGAUUGCAUCACUGCACUCCAGCCUGGGAGACUGAAAGAGACCUUGCCUCUAAAGAAAAAAAAGUGGCUGGGCACAGUGGCUCAUGCCUGUAAUCCCAGCAUUUUGGGAGUCCAAGGUGGGCAAAUCACCUGAGGUCAGGAGUUCAAGACCAGUCUGGCCAACAUGGUGAAACCCCAUCUCUACUAAAAAUACAAAAAUUAGUUGGAUGUGGUGGUGCGUGCCUGUGAUCCCAGCUACUGGGGAGGCUGAGGCAGGAGAAUCCCUUGAACCCAGGAGGUGGAGGUUGCAGUGAGCCAAGAUUAUGCCACUGCACUCCAGCUUGGGCAAAAGAGUGAGACUCCGUCUCAAAAAACAACAACAACAACAACAACAAAAAAAAACACACAAAACAGUGACUUAAUUAUAAUUCAAAAUAAUUAUUAGACCAAGAUUUUCACUAUUUUUAACCCUAAUAACAAGGUUCUAGUCUUCAUUUCUCUCCUAGUUGAAUGACUUUGGGCAAAUCUUUUCAUAUCUAGUGGCUGUUUUCUCCUUUGUAAUGAAGAUAUGUCAAAGUUUAUGAGUACAGGCUUAUCUUGUUUUAUUGUGCUUUGCUUUAUUGUGCUUUGCAGAUAUUGCAUUUUUUUUACAAAUUGCAGGUUUGUAGCAACCCAGAAUCAAGUAAGUCUGUCAGUGCCGUUUCCCAACAGCAUAUGCUUACUUCAUGUCUUUGUGUCACAUUUUGGUAAUUCUUGCAAUAUUUUAAACUUUUUCAUUAUUAUUAUUAUCUACUAUGGUGAUCUGUGAUCAGUGAUCUUUGAUGUUACUAUGAUAAUUGUCAUAGGAUGUCAAAAGCCGCACCCAUGUAAAAUGGCAAAUAUAAUCAAUAAAUGUGUGUGUUCUAACUGCUCCAUUUACUGGCUGUGUCCCCAUCUCUCUCCCUCUCCUUGGGCCUCCCUAUUUUCUAAGACACAGCAAUAUUUAAAUUAGGUCAAUUCAUAACCCUACAAUGUUGUCUAUGUGUUCAAGUGAAAGAAAGAGUUGCAUGCCUCUCACUUAAACGCUGAAAAUGAUUAAGCUUAGUGAGGAAGGCAUGCCAAAAGCCAAGAUAGGCUGAAAGGCCUCUUGUGCCAAAUAGUUCACCAAGUUGUGAAUGUAAAGGGAAAGUUCUUGGAGGAAAUUACAAGUGCUACUCCAGUGAACACAUGAAUGAUAAGAAAGUGAAGCAGCUUUAUUGGUGAUAUGCAGAAAGUUUGAGUGGUCUGGAUAGAAGAUUGAGCCAGCCACAACAUGCUCUUAAACCGAAGUCUAAUCCAGAGCAAGGCCCUAACUCCUCAAUUCUAGAAAGGCUGACAGAGAUGCAGAAGCUGCAGAAGCUGCAGAAGAAAAGUCUGAAGCUAGCAGAUGUUGGUUCAUGAGGUUUCAAGGAUGAAGCCAUUCUCCAUAACACAAAAGUGCUGAGAUCGUGCCACUGCACUCCAGCCUGGGCGACAGAGUGAGACUCCGUCUCAAAAAAAAAAAAAAAAAAAAAAAAAAGUGCAAGGUGGAGCAUCAAGGGCUGAUGUGGAAGCUGCAGCAAGUUAUCCAGAAGAUCUAGCUAAGAUAACUGAUGCAGGUGGCUAUACUAAACAGCACAUUUUCCACGUAGGUGAAACAGCUUUGUGGAAGAAGAUUCCACUGAAAACUUUCAUAGCUAGAGAAGAGAAAUUAAUGCCUUCAAAGCUUUAAAGGACAGGAUGAAUUUCUCAUACGAGGAUAAUGCAGCUGGUGACUUACAUUUGAAGCCAGUGCUCCCUUAACAUUCUGCAAAUUCUAGGGCCGUUAAGAAUUAUACUAAAUCUACUCUGCCUGUGAUCUAUAAAUGGAACAACAAAGCCUGGAUGACACCACAUCUGCUUACAACAUAGUUCACUGGAUAUUUUAAGCACAUGGUUGAGACCUACUGCUGCUUAGAAAAAAAGAUUCCUUUCAACAUAUUACUGCUCAUUGUCAAUGCACUUGGUCACUCAAGAGCUCUAAUGGAGGUGAACAUGGAGAUUAAUGUUGUUUUCGUGUCUGCUAACAAAAAGACCAUUCUGCAGCCCAUGGAUCAAGAAGUAAUUUUGACUUUCAAGCCUUAUAAGUUAAGAAACACAUUUUGUAAGGGCUGUAGCUGCCAUAGUGAUUCCUCUGAUGGAUGUAGGCAAAGAAAAUUGAAAACCUUCUGGAAAGGCGUCACUAUUCUCGAUGCCAUUAAGAAUAUUUGUGAUUCAUAGGAGGAGGUCAAAAUAUCAACAUUAGCAGCAGUUUAGAAGAAGUUAUUCCAAUCCUCAUGGAUGACUUUGAGAAGUUCGAGACUGCCAUGGAGGAAGCAACUGCAGAUGUGGAAAUAGCAAGAGUACCAGAAUUGGAAGUAGAACCUGAAGAUGAGAAGAUGGGACUGAAUUGCUACAAUCUCAUGACAAAAUUUGAACUGCUGAGGAA
rnacentral:lncRNA from 10 species